GACGAACGCUGGCGGCGUGCUUAACACAUGCAAGUCGAACGGAAAGGCCCUGCUUUUGUGGGGUGCUCGAGUGGCGAACGGGUGAGUAACACGUGAGUAACCUGCCCUUGACUUUGGGAUAACUUCCGGAAACUGGGGCUAAUACCUGAUAGGAGCUCCUGCUGCAUGGUGGGGGUUGGAAAGUUUCGGCGGUUGGGGAUGGACUCGCGGCUUAUCAGCUUGUUGGUGGGGUAGUGGCUUACCAAGGCUUUGACGGGUAGCCGGCCUGGGAGGGUGACCGGCCACAUUGGGACUGAGAUACGGCCCAGACUCCUACGGGAGGCAGCAGUGGGGAAUAUUGCACAAUGGGCGGAAGCCUGAUGCAGCAACGCCGCGUGCGGGAUGAAGGCCUUGGGGUUGUAAACCGCUGUAGCCUGUGACGAAGCGUGAGUGACGGUAAUGGGUAAAGAAGCACCGGCUAACUACGUG
rnacentral:rRNA from 1 species